UUUUCCUAUGGGUGGCUGGACCUCACAUGAAGCAAGGUCUGGCCACUUUUGUCUGGAUUCAAGCUAAGCAAGGUUGCGUUAGUUAAUAUUUAGAUGGGGGACUUCCAGGGAAUACCAACAUUGGGGAUU
rnacentral:rRNA from 1 species